rnacentral:rRNA from 1 species
UACAGAGGUCCCAAGCGUUGUUCGGAUUCACUGGGCGUAAAGGGUGCGCAGGUGGUGGGGUAAGUCGGAUGUGAAAGCUCGGAGCUCAACUCCGAAAUGGCAUUGGAAACUACCCUGCUAGAGGAUUGGAGGGGGGACUGGAAUACUUGGUGUAGCAGUGAAAUGCGUAGAUAUCAAGUGGAACACCAGUGGCGAAGGCGAGUCCCUGGACAAUACCUGACACUGAGGCACGAAAGCUAGGGGAGCAAACAGG